rnacentral:rRNA from 1 species
UGCCAGCCGCCGCGGUAAUACGGAGGGGGUUAGCGUUGUUCGGAAUUACUGGGCGUAAAGCGCACGUAGGCGGACUAUUAAGUCAGAGGUGAAAUCCCAGGGCUCAACCCUGGAACUGCCUUUGAUACUGGUAGUCUUGAGUUCGAGAGAGGUGAGUGGAAUUCCGAGUGUAGAGGUGAAAUUCGUAGAUAUUCGGAGGAACACCAGUGGCGAAGGCGGCUCACUGGCUCGAUACUGACGCUGAGGUGCGAAAGUGUGGGGAGCAAACAGGAUUAGAUA